rnacentral:lncRNA from 1 species
UUGCUAAGCCUCUUUCUACUUCCCCCACAGCAUGAGACUUUGAUUAUUCCUCCUGCUCCACGGCUGCACUUGCACGUGAUAGAAAUGAAUUGGGGAGCUUGCAAAUUUAGAAUGUCUAGGACUUUGAAACCUCAGUUUGUAAGAUACGGUCACUUGAGAGCCUUUGAGACCCAACAAUCAUGGGUGUCAGAUCCAGCAAUACAUAUCACAUGAGAGAGAGGAAAUUCUAGGGCUUUGGGAAAAGGAAGAGGUGAUGAAAUUUCGUCCUGGCAUUGCUGUUCAAUUCUUUGUCCCUCAUUGUGCAUCAGCCACUGGUGCUAAAUGCUAAUAUUAUUCUAGCUUUUAGCUUUUGUUCUCACUUGUCACAGUGCAGAUGCAAAAUGAGAUAGUACCGUUUCUUG